rnacentral:rRNA from 1 species
UACGGAGGGUGCGAGCGUUGUCCGGAAUCAUUGGGCGUAAAGGGCGCGUAGGCGGAGAUGUAAGUCAGAUGUGAAAUCCGGGGCUCACCCCGGAACGGCAUUUGAGACUGCAUCCCUUGAGGGUAGGGCGGAGAAAACGGAAUUCCACAGUAGCGGUGAAAUGCGUAGAUAUGUGGAAGAACACCGGUGGCGAAGGCGGUUUCUAGCUUAUUCCUGACGCUGAGGCGCGAAAG